rnacentral:rRNA from 1 species
CGGUAUUUUAACCGUGCAAAGGUAGCAUAAUCAUUAGUCCAUUAAUUGUGGACUUGUAUGAAUGGUUGGACGAAAUAUGUUCUGUCUCAUUUUGUUUUUUAAAAUUUGAUUUUUGAGUUAAAAAGCUUAUAUUUUAUUAUAGGACGAGAAGACCCUAUAGAUCUUUAUUAUUUUUAUUCAAUUAUGUGUUUGGUUUAUUUAUUUAUUUUUGGUUUAUUUGAUUAUUUUGUUGGGGUGACAUGGGGAUAAUUUUUAACUCUUUAUUUUUUUUUG